rnacentral:misc_RNA from 1 species
UGCAGGAGUGAGCCUGCUCGCGAUGGCGGUGUGUCAGUCAAUGUUAUUGAUGCUGACACUCCGCCAUCGCGAGCAGGCUCACUCCUACA